rnacentral:rRNA from 1 species
GCUGUCGUCAGCUCGUGUUGUGAAAUGUUGGGUUAAGUCCCGCAACGAGCGCAACCCUUAUCCUUUGUUGCCAGCGGUCCGGCCGGGAACUCAAAGGAGACUGCCAGUGAUAAACUGGAGGAAGGUGGGGAUGACGUCAAGUCAUCAUGGCCCUUACGACCAGGGCUACACACGUGCUACAAUGGCGCAUACAAAGAGAAGCGACCUCGCGAGAGCAAGCGGACCUCAUAAAGUGCGUCGUAGUCCGGAUUGGAGUCUGCAACUCGACUCCAUGAAGUCGGAAUCGCUAGUAAUCGUGGAUCAGAAUGCCACGGUGAAUACGUUCCCGGGCCUUGUACACACCGCCCGUCACACCAUGGGAGUGGGUUGCAAAAGAAG